UCCAACGGACUUCGGUGAGAAAAUCAACGGAUAUUAUAAUAAACUGCAGCAAAAACCUAUAUGUCGUUUACUAGUUGUUUAAUGAAAGCAAAUUGUUUAGUAACCGCGAGUAGUGGUUGUAAACAGUGAUUUAAUUAGUUAGGAGCGAGCAUUUUAGGUUAAAGUGAAUGAUGGACGCAGGACGGACAUUUGGCUUUAGGCCAAUUUCUGCCAAAGACUCGUGUCAAAUACAGACAGUGGAGUUGGAUGGAAAUAAGGCAGGAUUGACAGGCGACAUGGAGGAGACCGAGCUUGCGGAGGGUGUUGCUGCAGACCUGACCAUGUGUAGGAAAGCUUUAAAGCGAGCCAAAGCCCAGUGCACAGUGUUUCCGUUGUGCUACGGCACAAACACACGCAGCAGUGGCCUGAUCCGUUGACCUCGCUCGGCAGUUCCAAAUAAACCAGCACUGACCUACUUUUCAACUGACCUGUUUAUGCAAGCUUCCAUGCGCUCCAGUCACAAAAAGGGGGACAAAGGGGAAGCCGAAUCUGUAUAGGACUGUGCUACUGUUUCCACUGCUGUUGUUCGGGGAUCAUUACCUGCUGCCCCACCUCUAUACAGACACUGCAAUGGUGUUUCUAACCUCACGUAACAGGUUACGACACUGACUUCAAAGAGGAGAUUAGAGUCAAGUAGUUAUGAGACUGCUGGCAUUGGAUGCAUUGGCCUAUUUCACUUUGCUCAUUAUGGCAGCACAUAUUUCUUUUAUUGGCCAUAUUAACAAGCAAUGUAAUCCUAUUUAUUAACAUCAUAUUUUGCAAUAUA